UAGCCAGGGCGAAAGAAUGGCGGAUGGCUGAGUGCGAGUGAGAGUGCAGGGUGCUUGAGCGUGUGCGUGAUGUGUGAGUGAGAGUGAAUGAGAGAGAGUGAGUGAGUGAGUGAAUCCCUGCGCUGCAAUACUUUCUUUUACACAUUGAUCUUAUUUGAUCGGGCCAGUAUUUUGCUGCCUUUCCUGGCCUGAAAUGAGAAGACCCAUUUCCUGUGAAGCCCUCGGGCGCUGUACAGGGAAGCAAAUCAGGCGGCUUUAAGUCGGAGAUGAUGAAUUGAUCAGAUAGAUGAGGCUGGAGGAGGGGAAGAUUCCCUCUCUCCAUAGCCAGUGUGUAUCGUGGCGAUUCUGAUCCGG